AUUGAACGCUGGCGGCAGGCCUAACACAUGCAAGUCGAACGAGUGGCGGACGGGUGAGUAAUGUCUGGGCAACUGCCUGAUGGAGGGGGAUAACUACUGGAAACGGUAGCUAAUACCGCAUACCAUCGGAUGUGCCCAGAUGGGAUUAGCUAGUAGGUGGGGUAAAGGCUCACCUAGGCGACGAUCCAUAGCUGGUCUGAGAGGAUGACCCGCCACACUGGAACUGAGACAGGGUCCAGACUCCUACGGGAGGCAGCAGUGGGGAAUAUUGAACAAUGGGCGCAAGCCUGAUGCAGCCAUGCCGCGUGUAUUCAGAAGGCCUUCGGGGUGUAAAGUACGUUCAGCGGGGAGGCGUUAACCGCAGAAGAAGAACCGGCUAACUCCGUGCCAGCAGCCGCGGUAAUAC
rnacentral:rRNA from 1 species